UUCCUCUGCUCCUGGCAGACACCCAGGCACCCACAUACUCAUGGAAGAAGCUGGGAAGACUGCGUGGGAGGUGCUGGCCAUGAAGUCCGCGAUCUGUCGGAGGGCCCAGAUGUUGGAGGAGUUGUUGCCCUUCUUCAUUUGCUCCUGGAUGAGGCCUUCCAGCUCCUCCCUGAAAGACUGCAGCAGGCCAAGGGGUUGGUGCCCUGUUCCUCACGGAGGGCCAAGGGCCCAGCAGGAUUUCACAAGACAGCGAGGCCCUACAGGUCCCCAGGGAUUGGUGCCCAGCUCCUUGCAGGAGAACUAAGGACCCUGCAGGUCCCUAGGAGCUGAGCUCUGCACAGGGGGUGAUCUCCACCCACUCCCUCCCCUCCUGCAGCUCCUUCACAGGAGGACUGCUCCUGCAAGUAGCCAGGGGAUUGCUCUUCCAGCUCUUCAAUAAAGGCCAAGGACCCUGAGGAAUCCCCAAAUGCAGGCUCACUAGGGCCCCAGAUGCCUCUUCAGAUUGCAGGCAGUACAACCCUAACUAAGACAGAGAAGAGAUCAAAUACCCACGUGGCCAGGCCCAUCCUGUUCAGCAAGCCUAAACUGUCAAGACCCUGCAUGAGGGACAGGGAGACAGAGCCACCGGUCUUUUGAGUCUCUGGGAAACCAGCCCUCCCUGCCCUGCCCACUCACAGGGCUCUGCAGGAUCAUGGUGACCCUCUUCUUCUGCUCCAUCAAGUUGAAGUCCUGUCGCAGGUCAGCUGCACGGUUGCGAAGUCGCAAGUACUCAGGAUCAUCUUCAGAGAACCGGUCAAAGUAGUGCUGCCCCUGAGAGGGUGGCGGGGAGGCCGCCUCGGGAACUGUGUCCUCGCUCAUGGUCCUGCUAAGGCUUCAAUCCACUCCUGGAACCCUGUAGAAGAAGGACAGGGCCUCCUCAAAAGCUAUGGUCCAGAAAUUCACAAAAGAACACUACUUCCAGGAACAGGGGAAGCAUCUCAUUUGGUGUGGAGCAUGCUAGACAACUCUACCCAACACCCUAAACCGAAAAACUCAGUGUUUUAAGUAAGUUCAUGACCUCGUGUUGGGCCUGUGCUGUCCAGGCCUCAUGUAUAUUCUAAAUGGAGAGAGAGAGAGGCCUUCGACUGGGGCCCAUUUCAGGUGAGCAGGUCUGGACUGGAAAUCAGUUCUAUACUUUGAACAGCUCUGUCCCUUGACACCUGCAGGUGUUCAGUGGGUCUCUUCCCCUCUCUGCCUCAUCUUAUCUAUCUCUCACUGAGGGGUGAGCAGAAUGACCACUGGGCUCCUUCCAAGGACACUGUGCAUCCAUGCUGCUCAAAGCCAGCUCAUCCUGGACCUUUGGGGUAAGAAGGAACGAGAAGACGGGUGCAGAGGACACAGCCCAUCCAAGCUGUGAAGACAUGGAUGGGGCAGCAGAAGUCCUCCCAUGGAUCCUCCCCACUCAGAUACCACUGCUCUCCCUGGUACCAAGACAAUCUCCACAGCACUUUCAAAGCCCUGAACCUUGGAUGUUUUGAAAUAGAACCAAGCAGCCCUGCCUUGUGCAUACCCUGGUAUGAUCAUGGAUACAUGAACUACCUACAUCCUGACACACAUCCUUGUAGGACUCUAAGCCACCAGUUCCAGAAGCACCAAGCUUUCUGCAUCCCUGUGCCUGGGAUGGUGUGGUCCUGAGCCCUCCUGACUUCAGUCCAUUCUGUUUACAGAAAGGCACUGGGCCAUAGCUGCCCUGCCAUGACUCUGGCCAUGGUUCUACAUGUGCUUCCAAAAGGAUGGCUAACUCUGUCCCCAUGGGACAGGGAUUCUGUAAAGCAAGGCAUCCUUUCUGCAACUCCAUCCACAGUGCUGGUGGUGACUAGUUAUCUAAAGAUGGCUUAGUGGAUAAGGGAGCAAUACUGAAAUAAAACCACCUGGGUUCAAAUCUCAGCAAC
ensembl:antisense Gm44089 predicted gene, 44089